UACGUAGGGGGCAAGCGUUUGUCCGGAUUUAUUGGGCGUAAAGAGCGUGUAGGCGGCUAGAUAGGUCCGUUGUGAAAACUCGAGGCUCAACCUCGAGACGUCGAUGGAAACCAUCUGGCUAGAGUCCGGAAGAGGAGAGUGGAAUUCCUGGUGUAGCGGUGAAAUGCGCAGAUAUCAGGAAGAACACCCCGUGGCGAAGGCGGCUCUCUGGUACGUGACUGACGCUGAGACGCGAAAGCGUGGGGAGCAAACAGG
rnacentral:rRNA from 1 species